GCUUCUUUAGAAAAAAGAAUGAAAUAGAGCACUCAAAACUUGAGUUAUCUUUCCAACUCUCUCAGUUUAAGAUUCUAUCAUUCCUUCUUGUUUACAAUUUGAUAACAUUUUCCCUCAAUGUAUAUUGCAUCAGUCUCUCUUACAAAAAAAGUUUAGUCUCAUAAUUAUUAAUUUCUAAGAGAUCUACCUAUAUAUGGUUACUUUCAUAUAUUUUCCUGUCGAUAAAUGAUAAAGGCGGUGAUUGUUAUGGAUCCAAAAAGACAAGUAAUUCUAGCCUUUCUAAAGAUCUACUCAAUUCAUUUUCUGUAUAAGUGUAAAAUAAUUGCAAGUACAAGCUAAGUUGUUCGGACUCCAAUGCUGGCAGAUCAAGAUGUCGGAUCCAAGAUAAUCGAAAUUUAAAGAUUUGGAGGUACAGAUCCAAGUAUGGAGUCUAGUGAGGGUGUUCUAGCACGGAUGCAGGUAACGGUGGUGGUUGUUAUGGAUACAACAUGACAUUGCAGGUGUUUGAUACAGAUGCAGAUGUAGAGAUCAGAUCCUUAAUGACCUAAAUUUUAAGAUUUGGGUGUACGAAUCCUUGUAGGAACUCUGGUGUGGGUGUCCAAGUAUGGAUACAUGUACGGGUGAUGAUUGUUAUGGAUCCAGAUAGACAGGUAAGUCUAGCCUUUCCAUAAUUCUAGUUUAAUUAUUUUCAGUAGAGGUUGUGAAUAAUUUAAAAAUACAAACUAAGUUGUUCGUACUCCAGUGCAAGUAUGGAUCUAGAGAUCGGAUCCAGGGACAACUGUCUUCAGAACAGGGGAUCCACUUGAACUAUGAUUUCCAGGGCUAUGAUCUGCCUCGGGUCUAGUACCCAUAUAGAUGAAAUCAUGAUAUAAUUUGACUAAAUCUAUUUGGGUUUGAGUCAGAGAGAUUUUUGGUUGAGUAUGGUCUCAGCAGCAGCAUCUGCAGGUGGGAAGAUGUCAUCUCAGGUUAAGUCGGUGUCCAGAUCAAGAUCGAGGUAGCCGGGCGAUGGAGGAUGUGAAUUCUCCAUAAUACCAGUGAAACUUUCAGGUGACAUCGCCUGAAAUGUUCACUGGUAAGAUGUCAAAUUUACAUCCUCCAUCGUUGGACGAUCUCGGUCUUAAUCUGGAUACCAACUUAACCUCAGAUGACAUUUUACCACUUGCAGAUGUUGAUGCUGCCACCAUUCUCAACCCAAAAUCUCUCGGUGUUUCAAAACAGAGUCAGAUUGACCCAAA